AGAUUGAACGCUGGCGGCAUGCUUUACACAUGCAAGUCGAACGGUAACAGGCCGCAAGGUGCUGACGAGUGGCGAACGGGUGAGUAAUGCAUCGGAACGUGCCCAGUCGUGGGGGAUAACGCAGCGAAAGUUGUGCUAAUACCGCAUACGAUCUAUGGAUGAAAGCGGGGGACCGAAAGGCCUCGCGCGAUUGGAGCGGCCGAUGUCAGAUUAGCUAGUUGGUGGGUAAAGGCCCACCAAGGCGACGAUCUGUAGCUGGUCUGAGAGGACGACCAGCCACACUGGAACUGAGACACGGUCCAGACUCCUACGGGAGGCAGCAGUGGGGAAUUUUGGACAAGUGGGCGCAAGCCUGAUCCAGCAAUGCCGCGUGCAGGAAGAAGGCCUUCGGUUGUAAACUGCCGUUUGUACGGAACGAACGGUCGUGGUUAACUACCGUCGGCUAAUGACGGUACGUAAGAAUAAGCACCGGCUAACUACGUGCCAGCACGCCGACGGUAAC
rnacentral:rRNA from 1 species